rnacentral:rRNA from 1 species
GGACGGGUGAGUAAUGUCUGGGAAACUGCCCGGUGGAGGGGGAUAACUACUGGAAACGGUAGCUAAUACCGCAUAACGUCUUCGGACCAAAGAGGGGGACCUUAGGGCCUCUUGCCAUCAGAUGUGCCCAGAUGGGAUUAGCUAGUAGGUGGGGUAACGGCUCACCUAGGCGACGAUCCCUAGCUGGUCUGAGAGGGUGAUCGGCCACACUGGGACUGAGACACGGCCCAGACUCCUACGGGAGGCAGCA